ACAGUUAAUGCCUUACAAAUUCUAAGAUCACCAAAAGACUUUUACAAACUGAAAAGAAGCAGCUGCUCACCCAGCAAAGCCCACUCCUCCCUGAAUACUGCCAAAGGACCUUCAGAUCAGACAACUGGGUGCCACUGUCCAACUAUCCUGGGUGCAGAUGCAUAACUGAAGCUACAAACUGGAUUUCCAGAUAAGGGAAGAGGCUAAGAAGAGGCAAAUCCUGCAAGGUGGGAGAAUCCCUCUUAUCAUGCCAAUGUCCCCCCUUCACAUGACAACUCUGUGCAUCCAGCCUGGGCUACGCAUCUCAAAUGUCAGACCAUGAUGCACCAGGACUGAUGCUGACACAACAGGCAACUGCAACUGUCUUAGGAGAUGUCAGAGACUCAUGACAUGUCCUGUGACACUAUCAGUUGUAAAACUCCCUGGGCUGGGGAGGUACAAGGUGUUCCUUGUGGUGGAAGUGUAUAAUAACUCAUAACAUCUUUGAAUUUGGUGGGCCUCUCCCCUGCCCCCCCAACAGAUCAAGACCAUCACUUCAAUCAGCAGACAUCAAAGCUGCGACUACCAGGUUUCAUCGCUGGAUCCACUGGGACAUGACUAUAUACAUCUUUCCACCCUUAUCCUUUCUUUCCCUUUCUCUCCCUUAUGUGUUUCCUUAAGUGUUAUCUCUAUGGUUUAAUAAUGCUUUACUGCUAUAGAUGGUUAUGCUUUAAUGUUACAAUGUUGCUAUAGAUGUUUUACUUUAUGCUUUAAUAGCACUAUAGCUUUAUUGCUAUAGGUGCUUUAAUAUUGCUAUGCUUUAAUAAAUGCUAUAUUGCUAUGCUUUAA